GACGAACGCUGGCGGCGUGCUUAACACAUGCAAGUCGAACGGAAAGGCCCUGCGUUUGUGGGGUGCUCGAGUGGCGAACGGGUGAGUAACACGUGAGUAACCUGCCCUUGACUUUGGGAUAACUUCAGGAAACUGGGGCGAAUACCGGAGAUGAGCUCCUGAUGCAUGUUGGGGGUUGGAAAGUUUCGGCGGUUGGGGAUGGACUCGCGGGUUAUCAGCUUGUUUGUGUGGUAGUGGCUUACAAAGGUUUUGACGGGUAGCCCGCCUGAGAGGGUUACCGGCGACAUGGGGACUGAGAUACGGCCCAGACUCCUACGGGAGGCAGCAGUGGGGAAUAUUGCAGAAUGGGGGGAAGCCUGAUGCAGCAACGCCGCGAGCGGGAUGACGGCUUUCGGGUUGUAAACCGAUUUCGACUGUGCCGAAGCGUGCGUGACGGUAAUGGGUCAAGAAGCAACGGCUAACUACGUG
rnacentral:rRNA from 1 species